ACUUUUUUCAAAGAUCAAAAGAUUUUUACAUGUAAUUUAAAUGCUAAAUAGUCACUAACCUACCUCAAGACCUGUCAAGGUGCACACCGCCUCUCAGUUUAGCAUUCCCAGAAGUGCUC